rnacentral:rRNA from 1 species
UACGUAGGGUGCAAGCGUUGUCCGGAAUUAUUGGGCGUAAAGAGCUCGUAGGCGGUUCGUCGCGUCUGCCGUGAAAGUCCGGGGCUCAACUCCGGAUCUGCGGUGGGUACGGGCAGACUAGAGUGAUGUAGGGGAGACUGGAAUUCCUGGUGUAGCGGUGAAAUGCGCAGAUAUCAGGAGGAACACCGGUGGCGAAGGCGGGUCUCUGGGCAACAACUGACGCUGAGGAGCGAAAGCGUGGGGAGCGAACAGG